rnacentral:rRNA from 1 species
AGAGUUUGAUCCUGGCUCAGGACGAACGCUGGCGGCGUGCCUAAUACAUGCAAGUAGAACGCUGAAGACUUUAGCUUGCUAAAGUUGGAAGAGUUGCGAACGGGUGAGUAACGCGUAGGUAACCUGCCUACUAGCGGGGGAUAACUAUUGGAAACGAUAGCUAAUACCGCAUAACAGCAUUUAACACAUGUUAGAUGCUUGAAAGGAGCAAUUGCUUCACUAGUAGAUGGACCUGCGUUGUAUUAGCUAGUUGGUGAGGUAACGGCUCACCAAGGCGACGAUACAUAGCCGACCUGAGAGGGUGAUCGGCCACACUGGGACUGAGACACGGCCCAGACUCCUACGGGAGGCAGCAGUAGGGAAUCUUCGGCAAUGGGGGCAACCCUGACCGAGCAACGCCGCGUGAGUGAAGAAGGUUUUCGGAUCGUAAAGCUCUGUUGUAAGAGAAGAACGUGUGUGAGAGUGGAAAGUUCACACAGUGACGGUAACUUACCAGAAAGGGACGGCUAACUACGUGCCAGCAGCCGCGGUAAU